rnacentral:rRNA from 1 species
UGGGGAAUAUUGCACAAUGGGGGAAACCCUGAUGCAGCAACGCCGCGUGAGUGAAGAAGUAUUUCGGUAUGUAAAGCUCUAUCGGCAGGGAAGAAAAUGACGGUACCUGACUAAGAAGCACCGGCUAAAUACGUGCCAGCAGCCGCGGUAAUACGUAUGGUGCAAGCGUUAUCCGGAUUUACUGGGUGGAAAGGGAGCGCAGGCGGUCUGACAAGUCCGAUGUGAAAACCCGGGGCUCAACCCCGGGACUGCAUUGGAAACUGUCUGACUGGAGUGCCGGAGAGGUAAGCGGAAUUCCUAGUGUAGCGGUGAAAUGCGUAGAUAUUAGGAGGAACACCGGUGGCGAAGGCGGCUUACUGGACGGUCACUGACGCUGAGGCUCGAAAGCGUGGGGAGCAAACAGG